UUUAGUCACAUACUUUCAAAGUCAUCCGUAUCAGCGGUGCUGGCUGCAUCAUCAUUGAACGGUGAAGAACUAGUGAGAGAUGGUGGUGCACAGCUUCUUUCGACUCUUCUUUCCCACUGCAUGUGUGUAGUUCAGCCAACAACUUCACAACAUGAACCAGCUGCUGUAAUCAUUGUCACAAAUGUGAUGCGUGCAUUUGCUGUAGUAAGUCAGUUUGAGAGUGCAAGGACUGGAAUUCUAGAGCUAUCCCAGUCUGUUUGAAGACAUUGUGCACUGUACUGAGAACUUGCUUACAAAGUAUCUGGAUUUGGCUUCAUCUAAAGAGAGAUUAUUACCUCUCGUUGGAUGUUUUUCAGUGCCCAUUGCAUCAAAAACUGAAAUUCCAAAACUCUACAUCAUUGUCCUAUCUCGCUUUACUGAUUAUCUGACAGAUCUUGUCUUCUUCUCAUUUUGCAAAUGUUUCAUUCUGCAACUUCUUUUCGUGAGGGUGCUCUCCAUGUUCUUUAUGCUUUGGCAGGCACACAGGAACUUGCUUGGGCUGCUCCAAAACAUGGUGGUGUAGUAUACAUUCUGGAACUUUGCCUUUGCAAAGGAAGAAGCUUGUCGCACGACCAAUGCAUGUGCCUAACACUAGUGAGAUUCCUUCCCGGCGGUCUUGUAUCCAUCAUUCGUAAUGGACCUGGAGAGGCUAUUGAUGCUUUUGAGCGGACCAUAGAGACUCUAGAACUUGUGUGGACUCUAGCAAUGACAACAUUUUUACCUGCACAGACUGAGAUCACGUGAACAACAGAAGGGUGGUGUAAUUGAAUUGGAUGUACCCGAGCAAUCUGGUCAAUCAGAAAUGAGAGACGAGCCACAAGUUAUUUUAUAUAUAUAUUUAAACUGAUAGAUGAAGCAGAGCAGUUGUGAAAGUUCUUUUGAGUUGAUAAACUUUUUAGUUUACA